rnacentral:rRNA from 1 species
GAAAGGAUUUAUUCGGUAAAAGAUGGGCCCGCAUCUGAUUAGCUAGUUGGUGAGAUAAUAGCCCACCAAGGCAACGAUCAGUAGCCGACCUGAGAGGGUGACCGGCCACAUUGGGACUGAGACACGGCCCAAACUCCUACGGGAGGCAGCAGUGGGGAAUAUUGCACAAUGGGGGAAACCCUGAUGCAGCAACGCCGCGUGAAGGAAGACGGUUUUCGGAUUGUAAACUUCUAUCAAUAGGGAAGAAAGAAAUGACGGUACCUAAAUAAGAAGCCCCGGCUAACUACGUGCCAGCAGCCGCGGUAAUACGUAGGGGGCAAGCGUUAUCCGGAAUUACUGGGUGUAAAGGGAGAGUAGGCGGCAAGGUAAGCGAUAUGUGAAAGCCUUAGGCUUAACCUGAGGAUAGCAUAACGAACUAUCUAGCUAGAGUACAGGAGAGGAAAGCGGAAUUCUUAGUGUAGCGGUGAAAUGCGUAGAUAUUAGGAAGAACACCAGUGGCGAAGGCGGCUUUCUGGACUGAAACUGACGCUGAGGCUCGAAAGCGUGGGGAGCGAACAGGAUUAGAUACCCUGGUAGUCCACGCUGUAAACGAUGAGUGCUAGGUGUCGGG